GCCACCUUCCCAUAGCAACGAUCUCUCGGCGCUGGCGACGCGGCGCCAAGGUUACCGACGGCAGCGACACGCACAACUUGGAAUCAUCUAGCGCAAGACAGGGGUAAUUGGAGAUCGAUGGGAGAGGCCUUAGUCCUGCAGUGCACAUAAAGAUUGGCUGACGAUGAUGAUGAACAAACUUGGACAGCUUCGCCGUACCACCACUCGCCCCAUAGACGACCAAAAUAAGGGCAACCAAAAUUUCCGACGGCUUACAGCGCGCCGUUCGAUAAUUUGGGCUCCCGCGGCACGACCGCGUCAUAUUCGGCCACCGACUGAAGCAGCUCCACGUUGGAGGUCAGCUGGGAGUUCGUACGACUGCUGCGGUGAAAUCGGAUAGUGUGGCGCUGCAACGCAGCCUGCGUAUGAGCCGUCACUAUAGGAACAGACAGCCACGGUCUUGCUCGAAAGCAGCAGGACCGCUGCUGCGUUAGAUUUUAAAACCGUUAAUGAAGUUCUAUGAAGCUGCGUGAUUCGGAGUAAAAUCUCACCAGAACGCUCGAAGAUGCACCCCAAGACAUCUCAGCCACGCCUGUGGUUCCUUGUUUAGAACAACGUUAAAGCAAUAAAUCAAAUAUGGCUGACUGA